rnacentral:rRNA from 1 species
CNCGCGUGAGNGAAGAAGGCCUUCGGGUUUNCAGCUCUUUNGAAAGGGAAGAAACGGUCUUGGUUAAUACCCGGGGCUAAUGACGGUUCCNCNAAGAAUAAGNACCNGCUAACUACGUGCCAGCAGCCGCGGUAAUACGUAGGGUGCAAGCGUUAAUCGGAAUUACUGGGCGUAAAGCGUGCGCAGGCGGUUUUGUAAGUCUGUCGUGAAAUCCCCGGGCUCAACCUGGGAAUUGCGAUGGAGACUGCAAGGCUAGAAUCUGGCAGAGGGGGGUAGAAUUCCACGUGUAGCAGUGAAAUGCGUAGAGAUGUGGAGGAACACCGAUGGCGAAGGCAGCCCCCUGGGUCAAGAUUGACGCUCAUGCUCCAAAGCGUGGGGAGCAAACAGGAUUAGAUACCCUGGUAGUCCACGCCCCUAAACNGAUGUCUACUAGUUGUCCGGUUUUAAUUAACUNGGUAACGCAGCUGACGCGUGAAGNAUACCNCCUGGGGNNUNCGGGUCGCCNNAUUAACNCUCNAAAGAAUUGANGG